rnacentral:lncRNA from 1 species
GUCGGAACAGAAGCAGCAGCAGGAAUGUUGCUAGGCAAAAAGGUUCUGAUGACAAUGAUGGAGAUUGCAAAUUAUGAUUAGUGCAAACCCAGGAUGUGUCAUCAGCUUAGGAUUCUGUUAUUUACUUAAUUUGAGCCUAAUGAUAUGAAACAUCGUUGUAAUGUUGAAGUUUUCUUAUCCUUUUCAAGGUGCUUCAAUUCCCUGAGGAAAGAGGCAAGCAGAUGGAAUAUUUCAGGCUGCAGACAUAGAAGAACGAGAUAGAAAUAUGCUCUCUGUCCUUGAUGUGAAGAUUCUGUCACUUUUAAUUCUCCAUCUUAUUUACUUUUCUACUACAUAAGAACUGGGGCUUGUUUUAGCAGCAUUGAUUAAGUUGUCAUUGAUUUUCAAGAUAGGAAAUAGAACUUUCAAAUUUCCCACAUGAAUUUUAAAUAAGUCAGAUAUUAACAACAAGAUAAAACAUUUACCAUGGCAAUGACAGAAUAGUCAAGUAUCAUUCAAAACCUUUCAAGGCUCACAAAGAGCAUAUGGAUUCUAGAUGUCAAUACAUACAUGACUAGAACUUACCUGGAGACACACAGCCAGCAAGAUGAGCAUCUGGAGCAGAGAGGCUCUGCUCCUAGUGGGUAGACAAAAGAAAAGCAGAAAAAGAUGACAACACAACGGGCUGAAAUGACCAUAAUACCGGUAUGUGCCAGGUACUGAGAGAGGACGAAGGCUUCACGAGCGUGUUUGAAACCAAGACUUGAUAGGAAUUUUACUUUAACGGAAGAUAGCGGUGAGGGCUUGAACACUAAGGAAUUAAUGAGAGAUCAGCCCCUUUAGCGACUCAAAGCAUAUUAUAACUCCAGCUGGUCAAAAAGAGAGGAAAUAAAUAAUAUAACAGGAACAACUGGAAGAGCAAGUGCAGCAUCAGGUUGGUGCAUUUCUUCUGAUCAAAAGGUCGAAUUGCAACUGGUCUUUGAAGAGUGUGCUGGUGACAGUGUGCAACCUUUGCAGUAGCUCCUGGACUGGCCCUAGACUGCUGUCAAAUUAAACCAGCACUGUAAAGAAGAGAGCAAGUUGAAUGAAGUUGAAUGAAGGGGCAUCUUAAUUCCAAUCCUGGCUCUAAUGCUGACUGUAAGCAUGACCCCGGAUGAGUUAUUCACUCUCUCAGUCUCAGUCUCCUCAUCCACAAAGCAGGGAUCACAAUAAAUGAAUAGCACCUUUCACAGAACCCACCAUAUAUACUGAGUGUUCAAUAAAUACCGUGUUCAUCAUCUAACAUCAUAACACAUUGAGCAUCCAUCAAAGCAGAAGUAGUUCGCACCUGGAUAUUUCUGUUUCUUUUUUUUUUUUUGCUAUCCUACUGGUGUUUUACUUAAAUUUAGUGUGGUAAUAUGAAAGAAAAUUACUGCUCUUCUGCUAUUUAGUUAGCAUUUUUAUGCUUUUUAAAAAAUAUUGCAAUAAAAUUAAUAAAAUUUGAAUUCAGUCUUUCCUAUUUAACUAAUAUUAUCUAAAAAUAACUACCUCCCAGGACCACAUUAUACAACAACAUAUAGUAGCUACCUAGGGGCAGCUAUCUUAAUUGUUGAGAAAAUUCUACAAAG